UUCGCGGCGCUCUGGCUCAGGAUUAACGCUGNCGGUAUGCUUAACACAUGCAAGUCGUACGGAUUUAAAUUUAUUUGAAUUAGUGGCGGACGGGUGAGGAACGCGUAAGAAUCUACCUUUAGGAGGGGGGUAACAAUUGGAAACGAUUGCUAAUUCCCCAUAGGCUGAGGAGUGAAAGGUGGCAACACUGCCUAAAGAUGAGCUUGCGUCUGAUUAGCUUGUUGGUAAGGUAAUGGCUUACCAAGGCAAUGAUCAGUAGCUGGUCUGAGAGGAUGAUCAGCCACACUGGGACUGAGACACGGCCCAGACUCUUACGGGAGGCAGCAGUGAGGAAUUUUCCGCAAUGGGCGAAAGCCUGACGGAGCAAUACCGCGUGGAGGAUGACGGCCUGUGGGUCUUAAACUCCUUUUCUUAGAGAAGAAGAUCUGACGGUAUCUAAGGAAUAAGCAUCGGCUAACUCCGUGCCAGCAGCCGCGGUAAUACGGGGGAUGCAAGCGUUAUCCGGAAUGAUUGGGCGUAAAGCGUCUGUAGGUGGCUUUGCAAGUCAACUGUCAAAAAUCAAGGCUUAACCUUGAGCAGGCAUUUGAAACUAUGAGGCUUGAGUUAGGUAGGGGCAGAGGGAAUUCCUAGUGUAGCGGUGAAAUGCGUAGAUAUUAGGAAGAACACCAACGGCGAAAGCACUCUGCUGGGCCAUGACUAACACUGAGAGACGAAAGCUAGGGGAGCAAAUCGGAUUAGAUUACCCGAGUAGUCCUAGCUGUAAACGAUGGAUACUAAGUUCUGGGCGACUAAAAAACGUUCAGUGCUGUACGUAACGCGUUAAGUAUCCCGCCUGGGGAGUACGCUCGCAAGAGUGAAACUCAAAGGAAUUAGCGGCCCGGAAUUC
rnacentral:rRNA from 1 species